GCUGGCGGUGUCCCAAAUCUGGGCCUUGACGACCUUGCCGUUGACCUAGAGGGAGCGGGUGGCGAACUCGACCCCCCUGAUGGUGGACUUGGACUCGAGGCUGAACUCGUUGCGGGUGAAGCGGGAGGGCAGGUUGGACUUGCCGAUGCCGAUCUUGAAUCCUUGCCUUGCGCUGGACCCUCCCUGAUGUGGUCGAAGAGCAGCCGGACAUACCCGUCGGGGUUGUCCCCGGCCAUGUAA
rnacentral:rRNA from 1 species